GCCUACGGGGGGCUGCAGUGGGGAAUAUUGCACAAUGGGCGAAAGCCUGAUGCAGCAACGCCGCGUGAGGGACGACGGCCUUCGGGUUGUAAACCUCUUUUAGUAGGGAAGAAGCGAAAGUGACGGUACCUGCAGAAAAAGCACCGGCUAACUACGUGCCAGCAGCCGCGGUAAUACGUAGGGUGCAAGCGUUAUCCGGAAUUAUUGGGCGUAAGGAGCUCGUAGGCGGUCUGUCGCGUCUGCUGUGAAAACUGGAGGCUCAACCUCCAGCCUGCAGGGGGUACGGGCAGACUAGAGUGCGGUAGGGGAGAUUGGAAUUCCUGGUGUAGCGGUGGAAUGCGCAGAUAUCAGGAGGAACACCGAUGGCGAAGGCAGAUCUCUGGGCCGUAACUGACGCUGAGGAGCGAAAGCGUGGGGAGCGAACAGGAUUAGAUACCCCGGUAGUC
rnacentral:rRNA from 1 species